UGAUAAUUAGUUUAAAUAAAACAAGUGAUUUCGACUCACUAAAUUAUGAAUUACUCAUAAUUAUCAA
rnacentral:tRNA from 1 species